rnacentral:rRNA from 1 species
AGCGAACGCUGGCGGCAGGCUUAACACAUGCAAGUCGAACGCCCCGCAAGGGGAGUGGCAGACGGGUGAGUAACACGUGGGAACGUACCCUUUGGUUCGGAAUAACUUGGGGAAACUCAAGCUAAUACCGGAUAAGCCCUUACGGGGAAAGGUUUACUGCCGAAGGAUCGGCCCGCGUCUGAUUAGCUAGUUGGUGAGGUAACGGCUCACCAAGGCGACGAUCAGUAGCUGGUCUGAGAGGAUGAUCAGCCACACUGGGGCUGAGACACGGCCCAGACUCCUACGGGAGGCGGCAGUGGGGAAUAUUGGACAAUGGGGGCAACCCUGAUCCAGCCAUGCAGCGUGAGUGAUGAAGGCCUUAGGGUUGUAAAGCUCUUUUACCCGGGACGAUAAUGACUGUACCGGGAGAAUAAGCCCCGGCUAACUUCGUGCCAGCAGCCGCCGUAA